rnacentral:rRNA from 1 species
GAUGAACGCUGGCGGCGUGCCUAAUACAUGCAAGUCGAGCGAACGGACGAGAAGCUUGCUUCUCUGAUGUUAGCGGCGGACGGGUGAGUCACACGUGGAUAACCUACCUAUAAGACUGGGAUAACUUCGGGAAACCGGAGCUAAUACCGGAUAAUAUUUUGAACCGCAUGGUUCAAGAAUGAAAGACGGGCUUGCUGUCGCUUAUCGAUGGAUCCGCGCUGCAUUAGCUAGUUGGUAAGGUAACGGCUUACCAAGGCAACGAUGCAUAGCCGACCUGAGAGGGUGAUCGGCCACCCUGGAACGGAGACACGGUCCAGACUCCUAGGGGAGGCAGCAGUAGGGAAUCUUACGCAAUGGGCGAAAGCCUGACGGAGCAACGGCGCGUGAGUGACGAAGGUCUUCGGAUCGUAAAACUGUGUUAUUAGGGAAGAACAUAUGUGUAAGUAACUGUGCACAUCUUGACGGUACCUAAUCAGAAAGCCACGGCUAACUACGUG